AUUAAGUGUCCCGCCUGGGGAGUACGGCCCGCAAGGCUAAAACUCAAAGGAAUUGACGGGUCCCCGCACAAGCGGCGGAGCAUGCGGCUUAAUUCGAUGCAACCCGAAGAACCUUACCUGGGUUUGACAUCACGGGAAAAGCUGCAGAAAUGCAGUGUCCAUUAGGGCCCGUGACAGGUGGUGCAUGGCUGUCGUCAGCUCGUGUCGUGAGAUGUUGGGUUAAGUCCCGCAACGAGCGCAACCCUUGUCCUAUGUUGCCAGCGGUUCGGCCGGGGACUCAUAGGAGACUGCCGGGGAUAACUCGGAGGAAGGUGAGGACGACGUCAAGUCAUCAUGCCCCUUAUAUCCAGGGCUGCGCGCAUGCUACAAUGGCCGGUACAACGGGCAGCGACCUCGCGAGAGUGAGCGAAUCCCCCAAAGCCGGCCCCAGUUCGGAUUGAAGUCUGCAACUCGACUUCAUGAAGCCGGAGUCGCUAGUAAUCGCGGAUCAGCAAAGCCGCGGUGAAUACGUUCUCGGGGAUUGUACACACCGCCCGUCAAGUCACGGAAGUCGGCAAC
rnacentral:rRNA from 1 species